AGUGAACGCUGGCGGUAGGCCUAACACAUGCAAGUCGAACGGCAGCACAGUAAGAGCUUGCUCUUACGGGUGGCGAGUGGCGGACGGGUGAGGAAUACAUCGGAAUCUACUUUUUCGUGGGGGAUAACGUAGGGAAACUUACGCUAAUACCGCAUACGACCUACGGGUGAAAGCAGGGGAUCUUCGGACCUUGCGCGAUUGAAUGAGCCGAUGUCGGAUUAGCUAGUUGGCGGGGUAAAGGCCCACCAAGGCGACGAUCCGUGGCUGGUCUGAGAGGAUGAUCAGCCACACUGGAACUGAGACACGGUCCAGACUCCUACGGGAGGCAGCAGUGGGGAAUAUUGGACAAUGGGCGCAAGCCUGAUCCAGCCAUACCGCGUGGGUGAACAAGGCCUUCGGGUUGUAAAGCCCUUUUGUUGGGAAAGAAAAGCAGCAGGUUAAUACCCCGCUGUUCUGACGGUACCCAAAGAAUAAGCACCGGCUAACUUCGUG
rnacentral:rRNA from 1 species